CCAACCCCCUGCAGUGAACAGGGACACCCACAGCUCCAUCAGUGUGACAGUGCCCAAUCCAUGGCAGAACUCAGGCUGUAAGGUGUUUGCUGUGGGGUAAUGAUAUCAAGUUGGCCUACGGGCAGACAACCUUAUGGAGAGCUCACAUUGCACAGGAAUUGCAAGCUACAGACUGGAACAACAGAGAGCUGCAAAGCACACCUGCCCAUGGAUUAUGGAAGUGACUUCAUGCUAUCUGUCCAGAAGAAAUAAAGUUGCAGUGAGCAAAGGAAGGUUCCUUGACCUGACCAGAUGGAUCCAUGCAGAUGAAAAACAAAUUCUUCUCCUUCUUGAGGAAAGGAAGCUGUGUGGAAGUGAAAUAUCUGCUUGCUUUGGAUUUUUCACAAAAGGACAAUGUAAAUGGGGGUACCUCAUAAAAUGCAAAUAUAACUUCUGAGUGAGGGGAAGAAGGGUUUGACAGUAUAGUCCUUCUGGAAACAAUUCCAGCAGAGGAUUAGGAGCUAUGGAUGGUAUUUCCAUAAGCCUUUGUUUUUGGCCUGACGAUGACUCCCAGAGAAGCUAAUGAAAAUGCCAUUGUAUCCAAGAGGAACAGACCUGAGACAGCACAGAGCGAACUGCAGAUCCCAGCCUUUGACUCAGUAGUGUAAAUACUUUGCCUUUAUAAGCAAAGAUUAGUAAAUUCAGGGACGUUAUUCAAAAUGCAAUUUGGUAGCUGCUUCACCAAGCACUGUCCAUACACACUGAGCAUACUUAUCUCCUAUGGCUUUAAGACAGCUCUGUGUUGUUAAGGAACAAGGAAAUAAAUCA